rnacentral:piRNA from 1 species
CCUUCAAUGUAGCAGCACAGGGUGCGCCUGA